GGGACGCUUAAGUGGUUUUAACCUUCUUAUUAUGUACUUUCUUCUUUUUCAAAAAAGUACAAAAAAUUACUUUUUUAAGACCAUUUUUCCAUUGUUAGGUGUGUCAAAUGAAUGAUAAUGUGUGUUAUGCUAGUGGAGAAGGUGGUGGAUAAACUAUAAUUUAUAAAAGUAAAUGGAAUAAAUAAAAGUUAGUGUGAGAAAUUAAUAUAAAAAUGAGGUGAAAAAGUAGAUAGAGAAAAUGAAGAAGGAAAUAAUAAAAACAAAAGGUUGUUGGAGAAGGUGGUGAAUAAAAUAUAAUUUAAAAAAGCGAAUAGAAAAAAUAGUUGUAAAAAAUAAGUGAAAAAAUUAAUAUAAAAGUGGGUGAAAAAAUUAGAUAAAGAAAGUUGAUGGAAGAAAUAAUAAAAAAAUAUUAAUAGAGAAUUAGGUGAAAAAAGUUGGUGUAGAAAAUAAUAUAAAAAAUGGGUAGAGAGAGUAAAUAAAGAAAAUGGAUGAAGAAAAUAAUAAAAAAAAGUUAAUGAAGAAGGUAACGAAUAAAAUAAAAUAAAAUUUAUAAAAGUAAAUGAAAUAAUUAAAAGUUAGUGUGAUAAAUUAAUAUAAAAAUAAAAUGGAAAAAUAAAUGGAAAAGAUGGAUCAAGAAAAUAAUAAAAAUAAAAGGUUAUUGGAGAAGGGGUGAAUAAAAUAAUGAUAAUAACAUAUCAUCUCUCAAAUAUCAUAUUCUAAAAUAGACAAUGGUAACAUAAGAUUGGAAAGCUGAGUCUCAGAAAAGUGAUGGUCUUCAAUGUUGAAAGAAGUAGCGCAUUACUCUAUCUUCAAAGAAUCAUUCAACUUUUUCUCCAUUUCAUAAAAAUACAUAGAAGAAAUUGGGUUUGAAUGAUAUUCANN
rnacentral:lncRNA from 1 species